rnacentral:rRNA from 1 species
CCUGAGAAACCCAAAAGAUCGAAUGGGGAGAUUCAUCGUCAGCGAUCCUGGCACGUGUGCGGUUCGUGAUGCUCGAGACUUCGGUCCCGUGGCACGCGUCCGCAUGGUUUUAUUGCUUGGUGUCGUCGGCGUGCACUUCUCCCCUAGUAGGACGUCGCGACCCGUUGGGUGUCGGUCUACGGCCCGGGUGGGCGCCUGUAAUGUGUCACGCCUCACGGCGUCAUUUUGCAGACCCCCGGUUGUCUGGCCGGCUGCUCGGCGGUACUCGCACGGUAUCGGGCCGCAAUUAUUCGAACUGCGUCCGGCCCGCCGCAAGCGAGGACAGUGUUUCCCGGAUGUACGGACCUAGCGCCGUCACCGGGCCUGGCCAGCUGUUGGUCGGCGGUGUCCUGGGACUGGCUCUAUAUUAAAUUAUGAUACCGGUCGGCGACGCUACUGCUUUGGGUACUUUCAGGACCCGUCUUGAAACACGGACCAAGGAGUCUAACAUGUGCGCGAGUCAUUGGGAACUAUUAAGCCUAAAGGCGCAAUGAAAGUGAAGGUCGGCCUUGCGCCGACCGAGGGAGGAUGGGCCGCGUCACGAUGCGGUCCCGCACUCCCGGGGCGUCUCGUUCUCAUUGCGAGAAGAGGCGCACCCAGAGCGUACACGUUGGGACCCGAA